CCUGUGCACUGGAAUGGACUUACCUAGGAACACAAGAUGGAGAGCAAGCUGUCUAGAACCCAGCUCUUCCGCCAACCCAACCAUGACCUUGGUGGUUUCCAAGGAUGAGAAGCUUUUCAUGGGAUCUGCAACUAGCUGUAAGAUGGGAAUAGAGCCACCUGCCCACCUGCCCAUCAUGGUCUCGGAGCUGAAGGAUGACCAGAAGGACAGCAAGGGCCUCUUCUUCAGGGAAUGGAAGCAGCCG